rnacentral:rRNA from 1 species
GACGAACGCUGGCGGCGUGCCUAAUACAUGCAAGUAGAACGCUGAAGAGAGGAGCUUGCUCUUCUUGGAUGAGUUGCGAGCGGGUGAGUAACGCGUAGGUAACCUGCCUUGUAGCGGGGGAUAACUAUUGGAAACGAUAGUUAAUACCGCAUAACAAUGGAUGACACAUGUCAUUUAUUUGAAAGGGGCAAUUGCUCCACUACAAGAUGGACCUGCGUUGUAUUAGCUAGUAGGUGAGGUAAUGGCUCACCUAGGCGACGAUACAUAGCCGACCUGAGAGGGUGAUCGGCCACACUGGGACUGAGACACGGCCCAGACUCCUACGGGAGGCAGCAGUAGGGAAUCUUCGGCAAUGGGGGCAACCCUGACCGAGCAACGCCGCGUGAGUGAAGAAGGUUUUCGGAUCGUAAAGCUCUGUUGUAAGUCAAGAACGGGUGUGAGAGUGGAAAGUUCACACUGUGACGGUAGCUUACCAGAAAGGGACGGCUAACUACGUG